CCUACGGGAGGCAGCAGUGGGGAAUAUUGCGCAAUGGGCGAAAGCCUGACGCAGCGACGCCGCGUGCGGGAUGAAGGUCUUCGGAUCGUAAACCUCUGUCAGCAGGGAAGAACGGUCACUGUGCUAAUCAGCAGUGAAUUGACGGUACCUGCAAAGGAAGCACCGGCUAACUCCGUCCCAGCAGCCGCGGUAAUACGGAGGGUGCGAGCGUUAAUCGGAUUUACUGGGCGUAAAGCGCUCGUAGGCGGUAUGUCAAGUCAAGGGUGAAAUCCCCGCGCUCAACGUGGGAACUGCCUGUGAUACUGGCAAGCUAGAGUGUGUGAGAGGAUAGUGGAAUUCCAGGUGUAGGAGUGAAAUCCGUAGAGAUCUGAAGGAACAUCAGUGGCGAAGGCGACUAUCUGGCACAUAACUGACGCUGAGGAGCGAAAGCGUGGGUAGCAAACAGGAUUAGAUACCCGUGUAGUC
rnacentral:rRNA from 1 species